UUGGUACCUUGUCUCCCUUGAUGCCUGGCAAGCCUUGGGGCCCUGGAAUUCCGGGAGGCCCCUGCUCCCCCUUGGGUCCCUGAGGAGAAAAGAACCCAGAGUAGUGUAUCAAAUGAGGUGUCCAGACAUGCUCCCCACUGCCCAUCACAGCUGGCCGCCUCCACUAACCUGCCGUCCUUGAGGGCCUGGCUGCCCCACCGGCCCCCUCUCACCCUGGUCACCCUGAAAUGGAAAGAGAGGAUGACACACAGGCUAGAGGAUGACACACACCCCCUCCUCGGUCGCCCCCUCCAGACCCCAGGCCCUGCUGGUCAGGAUGCCCUCCAUUCCUCCACACCAGCACUGAGUCCUUUGCUCCACUUUACAGACCAGCAAACUGGGGCCCUUGCCAGGAAGGCCUCACAAGGCUGGGCAGGACUAGGCAGGUGCUGGAGCCGUGGAUAGGACCCAGAUCCUGGGUCCAGUGGUGCCAGCUGCUGCAAAGGCCCCCAGGGAGGGACCACUGUGCCAGGCACUUACCUUCUGCCCCAUGAUGCCUCGGGGUCCGAUUUCUCCUUGAGGUCCUGGCUCUCCCUGGGGGACAGAAACUGGGAGUGAGGCAAUGGGCCUGGUGCAUCCCUCCCUUCCACGGCUGGCUAACCCCUACCCUCCCUGGGUCUCAGCUAAUUCACUUCAUCAUUUUUCCCCUGUUCUUUGGGUCCCUGUCCUUUUCCUUCAGUAGGACCCCACAUAGUUGUAGUCAGUCAUCAUGUGAUCAUUUAUUUAAUAUCUGCCUUUUCCACUAAACUGUAAACUCCGAGUAUGAGACUAUCUCAGCAUCUAACACAGUUGCAGGUAUUUGGUGAAUGUUUAAGGAAUGAAUGAAUGAAUGAAUGAAUGACUCUGCUGGAUUCUUAGCCCCAGUCAACUUGGCCAUCUGAGGAUGUCAUACCCAUAUAGAACAGAACCAAUCCCGCCAUCACCACACUGUACAUAGAGAAACAAGGACCCAGAGUGGAAAAGGGGUGUCUCCCUGGGUCAGUGAGUCAGUGGCAUAGCCCAGACUGCCAUUCAGGCCCCCCUAAACUAGGGCUUCACCCCACACUCUCACCCAGGCUGCAUAUGCUGAGUGCAGGGUCUUCAGACCUGGGAGGGGGACUAAUGCAAGAGCCCUAUGUCAGGGAAGGGACACUUACCUCCUUCCCAGGAGGACCAGAGAAUCCAGGGAGGCCCUGCUGGCCUGGCUCCCCCUGCAGGAAAAUAGUUUUCAGGUCAGUCUGGGGGGUCUAGUCAAGCUCUUGAUCUUGCAGAAGCCUGAUGAACCCUAAACAGAAUCUAGAACCAAAUGAGUUGGGGAAAAGGUGUUCUUGGUCAGGUCUUUUGGAGUCCAUUUAUUUUCCUGUUUGUUUCUCCUCUGGUUGGGAGCCAUGCCAUCCUGUGUCCACAGAGGGCUGAGGGGAGCGGCAGGAAGGAGGUGCUUAGACACUGUUGUUGAGCCGGGGUUGAGGCCUGGGCCUUAGGGUCUUUUAGCCAUGCCCCUGGACCCUGCCCCCCAGGCUCCCUUGCUCAGAUGAAGCCAAUCCUGUCCUCAGCUUGAGGUCACCUUACCUUGUCUCCAGGGCCUCCUUUUGUCCCAGGCUGGCCCGGCACACCCUGGAGAAAGAAGAUGACAUCAGUUUCUAUCCUGGCACUGGGGAGCCCCAGGCACCUCCUGCUUUACCUCCUAUCCCCAUUUCAGAUCCCCUCCCUUCCUCAGCCCUGGCUUGUGGGAGCUGAACAACAGAAGGCCCAGCCAUGGCAUCACAGAGUUGACUGUACCCUGAGCCCUGGUGGGAGAGGACGGGGGUACAGAGGGGCCUAUAGUCUAUGGGGAGAAGAGAAGCACCCUGUGUUCACAGGCACAUGUAAAUGACUACAGGAACACAAUCUGCACACAGGCCUGUUAUCAGGCUUUGGCCUCAGCACCUCCAGCAGGGAGGCAGGGGGCGUCCCAUGGACUGGGCUUCCAGAAGGUGUGCGAUGGAGGUGGCCCUGAAUGGUGAGAAGGCACAGAGAGGUAGGGAAGGGCAUUCCAAGCAGAAGCACGUGCAAAGGCCUGAAGGUGUAGGGGUAGAAGAGGCAAGGCAGGGUUCCCUGAGAAAGGAGAGGACACGGAGGGGCCGUGGCUGGUGAGGAUGGAAGGGUAUGGUGGGGUCAGAUUAUGGUGGCCUUGAAUGCUAAAAUGAGCUGUGAGGACAAGCCUUGCAGCUGUCCUGUUCACAAUUUUCUCUGCCUCUCAGUGCACCCUGGGGACUCAGUAACCAUGUCUUGAAUGACUGGAUGGAAUGACUUUCCUGGAGGCAGUGAGGGCCAUGAAAAGUGCCUUAGUGGGAAAUAACCAACAUGGAGAAUUGGAAUGAUCAAAGAGAAGGCUAGAGCAACUGUCCAAAUGAUGAGGCCUAAUCCAGGCCAGGGGCCACAGAGGUGGUGAUGAGGUCUGGGCUGGGUGGGGACAAGGACUAGAGCAAGAUCCCUGGGUGUGUGGAUUUCCACCUCAUCAACCACUCAUGCCACCAUGGGGAAGUGGGCAACACUGAGCAGGAGAAGCAAUUUGCCCCUGGGGCCGCCCCUGGGACUCCACCCCGUACUCACCGCUAGGCCCUGGUGGCCUUGGUUUCCUGGCCGCCCCGCCUGUCCUGCACUGCCCUGGGAGAGACAGAGAACCAGAGGCACAAGUGAAAGCUCCAGCUAGAGGGUCCAUGGCUUCUGCCCCCGUGCAAGUAAGGAAACUGAGGCCCAGAGGCAAGCAGGGAUGCAUCAGUGGCGCACUUGAGGAUCCCAGGCUCCUACGCCUCCAGGAUCAGUGUGAUGAGACUCAGGGCCUGAGCUGGGAGGAACCCUGACCACUCCCCAACUCUACUGGCAAUCCCCACUCAUACCUUCAUGCCAGGUGUGCCUGGGGUCCCAUCCUUGCCGUCGAUGCCUGGGGGGCCCUGCUCAGAAGGAAAGUGGGGAGAUGCCUGGGGUCAGGCCACCCACCCAUGUCCCUCUGUGACAGCUGCAGUCAGUGUGUAGGUAGGAAGUGGGUCUGGUUAUCUCAGGAACCCCCACCAGCCAACUCAGUGGGGGGGGGGGGCAGAAAUGGGAAGACGAUUUGGGGUGAUGGGCCACAGUCCUUCCUCAGUGGAUGACAAGUGUCCCAGAUUGCUGCAAGCUUCCCCAAACCUCUGCUACAUCACCACCCCAUUUACAGGUGAAAGAACUAAGGCACAGAAAGAGGGCCUCUCCCAAGGUCACAGAGCCAACCCGCCAGCAACAGAGCUCAAUCCAGAAUCUCAGGCUCCUCGUCCUCUGAAGCUUGGACAGAGUUGACCCCGCUCUCUGUCUGGUAAUUUACUCUGCACGAACAAACCUGAAAAUAGGAGCCCAAGAAUCCCAGGUCCUGGACCAGAGGGAGCAAUGACACCCCAGCCCCCACAUCAACCUCAUCUCUCCCAAAGAGUGCCUUUUCAUCUGAAGGAACUCAAGAUUUCUUUUCCUUUUUUCAAUAAAAUUUUGUUUUAAUCAUAGAGAUAUUAUAUAUUUGAUCAGAGACUGAGUCUGAUUCAUCCUCUGUUAUCAAGCUGCAGGUGUCCACAGAUUUUUGGAGAAAGUGACUGAUCACUGAAUCACCCCCAAGUUGGAUCCAUGGAGUGAAGUUUUCCUCAGGACCUUCCCUAACCAUGCCCUUCUCCCUCAGGGGCAGGUUCUCAGGACUCAAUUUGGAGUAAAUGACUAAAUUCUCUUACACCUGACCAAACCCACUUUGUUUCCUCAGUCAUUUUCCGAAAUACUUACCUCCUUGGUUCUCCGUUUCCCCUCCCCCAACCCCACAUCAAGUUCUCAGCCAAUCUCCCAUCCCAACCACUGCGUCUUCUGGAACACUGGUUCAAUGAUUAGCAAAUUAUCUGACUGUUCUCAAUUUCUCAGGGCACAUUGUCCACCUCCAAGCCUGGACCUCCACAUGAUGCUCCCUGACAACCUGCUGUCCUGCAGCUGUCACAGAUGGAGGCGUCACAUCCCUCAGGGUCAGAAUGUGGGAUCAGCAUCCACAUUAUUUCUUUGAGUGCUUCUCCAGAAAUGUGCUUGUAGAAGACGCUACUCCCUCAGGUGCCAACUGGUUCUAUCACCCCCUCCUCUUUUCUCUGGGUCCUUUCCCUCACUCACUAAUGAUUUGGGCACCUGGGUCAUAUCUUCCCCUCCUCUCAGGGUCCUGCCAUCUGGGGCGCCUCACCAUCUUCUUGGAUGACCCUUUCAACAUCCCAGAUCCCAUUGCCUUAACCACCUCAUUUCUAGUGAUCAUCUCCUCAACUCCACUUCAGCCAUAUUCUCAAGGCCAUACCUGGGGCGUUGGCUUCAUUCAGAGUGCCUCAGCUCUGAAAUACUAAAACCAAUCAACCCUGGGAUCCCUGAGCCACCGUGCAGGAAGUCUGACCAUCCUGCUGGGGAGACUACACGGAGAGAGAUGCCCAGCCGAGCCCAGCCUUCCAGCUGUCCACACCAAAGCACCAGGCAUUUUGAACCUUCCAGACCUGCCUGAUCACCUGCUAAAUGCCACUGAGGGCCUGAGGAAACUCCACAUGGAACAGAAGAAUUGCCCAGCUAAGCCUCAAUUACAGCUGUAUCAGAUGAGACUCCGUGUCAUCUCUCCUGGGGUGGAGCUCCUCCCCAUCUGUGGUCCCGGAAAUCUAGAAAACAAGUUCUCUGCUCCCAGAAUAGAAUGCCAGGACUGGCAUAUGCUAACAGUUAAAGGCAUUCCUGUGCAAACAGAGAGAAGAUGGAAGAAAUAAAGGAGUCACAGGUCCCAGGUAAUUUCAAAAUUAAGUUGGACAAGCUUUAUUAGGCUUCAAGGCCUAAGGAUAAUCCUCCGUAGCUCAAGGCUUAGCCCUCUGAGUUGUUUGUUCUUUUUCAUGAGAGACAGCACCUGUUCCCAGCUGGGCCAUUGUAUCAGCCUGCUUCCUGCUUGUAGCCUACUUUCAUUUCUGACCCUCUCUGUCCCUUCCAGUCCAGGUUCCACUGUUUCUCCUGACAUAUAAGACUCAAGAACCUUGUGGGCCUCUCAUGUAUGUCUCAGAGAUUCACUCCAUUACACCAGAGGCUCCUUCACAGAUGUUCCCUGGAUAAUUCCAUUUCUGGUUUUGGCUUCGUUGAGACAGCUGAUGUGAUCUAUGAGUCACACACUCUCUUCAAAAAUCCCUUCACGUGACCAAAUACUUGGACCUUUGGAUCUUUCAGGGAUGUUAACAAAAGGUUGUCCAGGCGCACCAUCGGCUUUUUCUCAAGUGCACUUUCCCUGACAGUGAAUCUCUCCAUUUUAAUAUCAUUUGCAAUCUAGAUAAGCUGAGAAUUCCCCCAGGUCAUCAAGCCCCGGUUUGUUUUUGUUUGAUAGUUCUUUCCUCCGUGUGUCUGUGUCCCCUCCCGGUUGGUUACGGCAAGUGGCAAGAAGCCGCGAGGCCACACCUUUCAACGCUUUGCUUGGAAAUCUCGGCGAAACAUCCAAGUUCAUCGUUUGUAAGUUCUGCUUUCCACACGACUGCAGGGCGUGUGAUUCGAGGCCUCUUGCCACCGAGGAACGAGUUUCCAGUAAGGCGUUCCUCAUUUCCUUCUUAGCUCUUAUGGGCAGCACCUGUAACAGCCAUAUUUCUACCAAGUCUGUGCACGAUGACGUGGGCCUGCUCAAAGUUGGUUUAUGUUUUCUCCUCCGCGCCCCUCACUUCUGAGUCCUCAGCGGCAGAGUCGUCGUUAGCUCCCUUGUUGCCACCGAGUCUGUUCAAGGUCAUCUAAGCUUUUUCUAUGAUGCUCCCUACUGUCCCUCCUCCCUACCGUCCUCUCCCUACUGUCCAGUUCCACUGCCUCUUCCACGUGUUGAGAUGCUUGGUCCAGCACCACCAAAAUCUGUAUUUGUUUUCUACGGCUGCUGUAACAAAUAACCACGGACUGAGAGGCUUAACGCAAUACAGAUGUGGUGUCUAAGAGUUCUACAGGUCAGUAGUUGGACACUGGGAUGAAAUAAAAAUGUGAGCAGCUCUGCUUUCCUUUCUGAAGACUGCGGGAGUCUAUUUGCUUUCU